rnacentral:lncRNA from 1 species
GUAAGACACCAGACACUGCCAGCCACAGACACUGUGCUCACAGACAUGUGGUUUUUCUUUGCAGGGUCCCUGACCUUGGCUCACUAGUCAUUGUAAAAUGUCUGUGUGGCUGGCUUGUGAGUGUCCUCUCAGAGCAAAAUAGACAUGCUUUUUUAGUUAUAGGUGCUUUGCUGCUUACUUAAAACAGAGUUUCAGCUGUAGCCCUGGCUGUCCUGGAACUCAUUGUCAACCAGGCUGGCCUUGUUCUCAUAGGUGAUCCUCCCACCUCUGCCUUCGGGGAAUUGGGAUUUCCAUAUGUGCCACUAUGCCUGUUGUUGUUAAUAACUACUUGGGUCAAGCAGGGCACUAGUGGCUCAUGUCUUUAACCCUUUGUGAGUUCGAGGCCAGCCUGCCCUACAGAAUGAGUUCCAGGGCAGCCAAAGCUACACAGAGAAACCCUGUCUCAAAAAACCAUUUAAAAAAAAAAAAUCUUAACAUUUCCUUAUAAAGAAGAGGGCAGUUGGUCAUACUUUGUGCCAUUACCCCAGCAAAGCGGCUUUCUUUAGUUAAAGGGGGAUAUUUUCAGGCAGAAAGGAUAACCAGGUACAAAUUCUAAUCUCAAGAGCAUUUAUACUCCUUUAAAAAUGCAUUCAAUUUUCCCUUUUGUGCCCAGGGCGUGAGUUGCCCCCAGUGUGGAAGGGCGAAAGUGUCAUUCCCUCCUGGGCUGGGUUAGUGGAGGUUUACUGACUGCCUCCUGCACUCAGGAGCCAGGCUCAGCCCCAGGCCAGUCCCGGCUCCAUGACAAGGCUACUGCAGCAAGGACGACAUAUGUACUCACAAGUGUGUGUAUGUUUCGGAGGACAGUGAUUGCAGGGAAGAAGAAAUAGAAGCUUUCUGAUUGAAUUAACAUCAGUGUGGCUUUAGAACAAAGCUCUGGAUUGCUGGGUCCUUCAGCCCUGUUCUGUCUGCAAUCCCGCAACCCCCUCUCUUUACCCCCACCUUCUGCCCACCACCAGCAGCUAUGGAGAAACAGGGGAAGUGCCUACCUCAGGAGAGGUAAAGGCCCCUUUUAUAGGCUUAGUCAUUUUUCUUUGUAAGAUGUAACUUUCAUCUUCAGUUGUCUGUGGAGAAGUUGGCAGCACUUUCCAAUUCUUGUCGCCUUCAGUGAGCUUUAGCUAAAACAUUCUAGUCUGGGCAAGUUCACUUUUGGAGUUUGCAAAUUAGCUUCUUUGUGGCCUCAGAGAAACAGUUCAGAAGGCUUAGAGCUGUCGACUACUGAGUGGCAAUCACCGUCCUGAGCAUCUCACAAGUAGAUCUCAGUCGUGUCUGCCAUGUGUUGAGAGGCAGGUAUCUUCCCAAGGCAACAUGGCCUGUGGAAGCUGCAACGAGGAUCAGACUCUACAGAGUCAUUUUACAAAAGCCACUCUCUUAAAAGAGACACAGCUUUGCAGUUUGCACUUCCCUGAGCCAGUCACACAGCAGUUUGGUUUUCAUGGUUUUCAGAAGUGGCCAGUUGCUGACCAUUGCCUUAGACCUGGAGUUCAUUAUUGCAGAUAUAAAUGUGUUUUGUAUCAAGCUUUAACAGCAGAAUUGACCCUUUUAAAGCCAUGGUUUAUACAGUUCUGAUCUCUCAAUUUACCAGAUCUUCCUUUUCUUGUGGAAGUAAGCAAAGAAGGAAGUUAGUUUGAUAUUCAGCAUUAGCCCUCUUUGAUUUGAUUGGAAGCUCAGCAGAGGAAGCUAGGUUCCUGUAUGCUCCGGAGAGGAGGUUGCUCUCCUGGUCCUACUGAAGUCAGCUCCAGAGCUGACACCCUUGCUUUUCAGCAACAAAGCAGCAUGGCUCAGCAGCCGAAGACUCGGCAGUCUCACUCUGAAGUGCAGUAUGGAAGGGUGGCUUUAGCCUACGUUUACUUGGGUUUUGCUUGGAAUCUUGCUGUAGUAAUGAGGAAAUCUCAAAGGCUCAGGUUUCCAUGCACAUGCCAUGUGUCUUGGCCAGCUUCCCUUUCUACAGUCCCUCUCCUUGUAGUGGGUUGCUCCGUGUGUAGGCCCUAGCACGGCCUGUGUAGGUGCUGUUUCUCAUUACAGGACUGAGCAGGAUGGGAGCUGUAGACUGGGAAUUCAGAUUUCCAGGGCUGGAAAGACAGUCCAGCAGCUAAGAGCAUUUGCUUCUCUUCUAGAGGAGCCAAAGUUCAUUCCCCACACCCACAUCAAAUGGCUCACAGCUGCCUGUAAGUCUAGCCCAGUGAAUCCAAUGUCUUCUUCUGGUCUCCACAAGCACCAACUUGUACUUACACAAACCCACCCAGAAACAUACACGCACACAUAAAUAAUAAAAAUACAGUUUUUAAACUUUGAAUUGAUUCUUUGUGAGUUUCACAUCGUGCAUCUCAGCCCACCUAUCUCCCCGUCCCAUAGUAUCUGCCCUCCAAACUUGCAACCUCCCCUCCCAAAAGAAAAUAAACUCAC